UGCUUCCAAUCUCAGUGUGCUGUCCCCUACUGAGAUUGAGGGGGUGUGUUAAAUAAUGAGUUGCUUUUUCAGAUAAUUAGUACUUGGUUAAUUAGAGUAAGCAGGUCUUAAUGUUGUCCUAAUUAGUCUCUCUAGCUAAUGCUGUAUAUGACAGCUGUAAGUCAUGUAGAGAAGAUUAAGGGCAUUGUCUGUUAGUGCCUAUAAAUAUCUUCUGGUUGUAAUAGAAUGUUAAGCAGAGAUCAUUUUAUCAUUGAUUCAAUUUUGUGUGUGGCUGUGUUUUCUCUCUGCUCUCUCUGCGUUUUGCUUCCUUCUUCAAUCUUCAAGCUCUUUCAGGUCAGCCAUGAAUAUCAUGUUAUCAGCUGCAUGCUUUCCUUCUCGAUCGAUCUCCUCCUUAUUAAUCUUACUUAAUUUACAGGAUGCAUCAUACAUUUGAUUUUAACCAAUUUGUUGCCGACGACCCUGCUAGCUAGAUACUUUACCUCUUCAGUCCUUUGAGAAACUAUACACAGUAGUCUGCACCACAAAAACCAAAUCACAGUCGACCAAAUCACAUGCACAUUGCACAAAUUAGAAGAAACUCUUGCAAAACGUUCACCCGGCCCCCUCUGGCAGUUUUGGUUUAUGUUCAUUAUAUUACAUGUUUUGUAAUGAACAUAAACAAACCCUCACUCUCAUGCAACCUAUCAAGAGGUGAUAAUAACUCUUGCAAAAUACCAACCGCCUCCAAUAGGAUGAAUUUUUCAGCAGAGGUAGACCUUUCUCUUCAGAAUAUUGCUGUAUUACUACAUAUAAUUUGGACUAGAUUCUCUCCGGCAAUUCAAAGAGUUUGUGCUUCACAAUUCACUCACUUUCAAGUUUCAACUAAAGCACACUUUAGUUGAUGUAGCUUUUUCUAAUUGACUUGAUAUAUAUUCAUAACAUGCAGGGAGUUGCAAAAUAGAUUCUCUCCAGUAACAUGUACAACUGUAGCUAGUAAUGCUGGAAAGAUAUUCAAGUUUCAACUAAAUCUAGCUAUUAAUCUCGCACAUAUAUGCAGGAGGUUCAUGCUCUAAACUCCCUUCACACACGGGAAUGCGAGAAGCUGGAAUUUCUAAAUCAACAAAAUCUGAAUGUUAUGAAUCGAUAUACAUUUCAUCGUCUAAGAGAAGAUGGUCCGUUAUUCGUAUAAAUAAUAUCGAUCAUUCAACAUUCAAGGAUUCAUUUACAUCAAAUAAAUGAAUUAUUGCAUUCAUAAUACUUUCCGUUAAAAUUACAUUUAGAACAUAUAAGCAUCGUAACAGCAUCUUAUAAACAGUACGUAUCAAUAUAACCAUGUCAACAUCUCAUAAACUCAUUAGCUCUUAGUCACGAUGGAGCGACCAAUUAAUUUGAACUUUUGGUUCUAACUUAUCCGAUUCCAACAAUAUAUUAUCAACAUCGUCUCCAAUUUCCAUGUACGUCCGAUAUAAUAUACAUGGUUUCUUCAAGUAUAGGAACUUCAUGCUUUACCAAAUGGUGGUCACUGAGCCCCAAGCUCAAGGUUAUCGUAAGUUGGCUCAUCGUCUUCAUAUGUAUCCUAUGUAUCGUGGUGUAGGACGAUUCAAUAGCCAUCUCCAUGCACAUUAAGAGGGAUAUAAGCCAUCAACUCCACCUCCUUAAAGUAAUUAAACAACGUACUCCAACAUAAAGUCCACCAUCCACUGCUAGAUUAGGCUUCAUCUAGAGUAAUUAAGGGAUGACAUGUCUUCAUCGAUCAACUCCUCCUUCAUUCUUCAGCCCAAGUUGAGAGAAGCUCCAACCUACCAUUGGAGCUUGUUGAUUUUAACGUUCACCCCUUCUAGCAGUUUGUUUAUGUUCGCCUUACAUUUUCAGAUUCUAAUUCGUUCCUUACAUUUAUAGAAAAUCAAUUACAUAUGGCAUAAUUGUCAAUUUGCUACCCUAACUUUUACCUUGGUGUCAAUUUGUUACUCUAUCUUUCAUUUCAGCCAAUUUGCUACCCUUCAGUCAAAUUUGUUACUUUAGGAUUUUAAGAUUAACCAAUUUACUUAUCAAAAUUUCAAUAUCGACCAACUUUAACCUUCGAUUUUCAGAAUUAAUUCAUGUUUGGAUGAAGAAAUGAAAAAAAAAAUGACAAAAAGGUGGUAAGUUGGCUAAUUUUAAAAACAUAAGGUAGCAAAUUGGCAGAAAUAAUAGUUAGGGUAGCAAAUUGGCUGAAAUGAAAGCUAGGGUAGCAAAUUUACACUAAGAUAAAAGGUAGGGUAGCAAUUUGGCUAAAAAACCAACCAUUACAUAGACGUAUAUCCAAUCGCGUCAACGAAAUGAAGGCUUGUAAGAUCAAUAUAUACGAGUACUACCCAUUAUACUGCUUAAAAAUGGAUAUAUAAAUGGUCUUCAAAUUGAUUGAUCGAUUUUUAAUAAAGUAACCAUAAAAUGUUAAAUGUUACUAAAAAUAGAGGGGGUACGUGAAGUCGUGAAUAUAGUGAAAGACCUAGUUAAUAAAGCAAGCAAGCUAGACGUCUCAACCUUAGUUAUCUCUAGUAUACGUAUUGAUAUGCAUCUCAGCUUCAAGAAGUGUUCCACAGCUUUAACAUGAUCAUGGUUUGUCUUUCUCUCGCACCUGAUCACUCUCAUUUCUAUGGCUUCCACUACGCAAAAUCCAUCAAUAACUCCAUGCGAGUAACAUUGAGCAUGCUCACUGAAACUAGGUACUGCAGCAAUACCUGAACUAGAAUCAUGUACGUAGUAGAUCAUCGCAUAUAUAUUCGUUGAAGAAGACAUGUCAUCGAAUUUCAUGACCUUGGCAGAAGUUGCGUCGCAGGUGGGCAGAUGCGCACCCCAUAAUCCAGAAUUGAAAUCCUCAGUAAUGUCGACCCUUAGGGCAUAAAUUCUUCUGCCAAAGGAAGACAAAGCACCACGUGAAUUAAGAUACAAGCUUGAUGAGGUUGGUAUUUGAUAGUUGGGUGGCAUAACCCUAGAAGAUGAUCCCAUGUCCAUGAAAAAUCGAAAGGAGUUGAGGUCGAGAAUAGAUAGAGUUGGGACACUUGGAACUAUGUCUCUAGCUUAAUAGGCAUUUAGCUUGUUCAUUCCUUAAUAGGCGCCAAACUAUGUCUCUUAAUUAGGCAUGGGUUCACGUUAUGCUGCUCCUCUUUGGACUUGAAAGAUGAGACGGAAAGGUAUCGCACCAGUAGUCCAGAAGAUCUCCUCAAGCAGAUACUCUCAGCUAGCUGGUUGGGUUUCUGGUACACCAAGGUGAAACUUCUGACUCAUUAUACAAUCGGAGACUAACAUCGUUGAAACGUGUGGUAACAAUUAAUGUCAAAGAAUUACUUAUAUGGACUUGAAAACCCUUCCUUCUCAUUCAAACUGAGGGCCAACAAGUACAAGUUGAUGAUGUAUGUUGUUCGAGUCACCCAAAUAUUUAUCAGAAAACCCUUCCGGAUCGAGCUAUGUUUACUGAUUUUGUUAUGCAAAUGUCUAAUCUCAACGAUUAAGUAUUGAGCCAGAGUAAUGAAGUUAAAAUUGAAACCAUGACUAGAGGUCGAAGACAAAGAAACAAAGAGAAGAAGAGAGCAAUUUUUCUGUGCAUGUAUGCACUGACCAACAACCCAAGGUUUGAAGACAACACAAACACAAUAAACCAGAGCCUAAAGUCCUAAACAACAAGAGCAGCUAGCGUUCAAAGCCAAACCGAGACUCCUAAACAACACUAGAAAUUAAAGGAACACAAAACAAACUACAGCUCAAGCAAGCCCGUACAAAGCCGAUACUCUUCAGAAAAUCCGUUUUGCCCGGUAAACCAUCACGAAGAACAGUGCCUUAAAACCUUUCUGCUCAUUCUCCGGGAUGGAAAGCAGGUUCAGAAACUUGUCAAUGGGGAAACAUUCCAACUCCAGGAGAGACAAUCCGUUCAGAGCGAGUGAGAGAAUUGCCAUCUUCCUCCUCAUAAACUCAUUCUCAGACUGCACCUCAAAAAAAA
rnacentral:lncRNA from 1 species